rfam:Glycine max cultivar Williams 82 chromosome 17, whole genome shotgun sequence.
GGCUCAUUAGCUUAGUUGGUUAGAGCAUUGUGCUAAUAACUUAAAAGUCACAGGUUUGCUUCUUGCCUGGACCA